CAAAAAACCAACCAACCAACCAAACAAAAAAAAAAAAAGAAAAGAUUACACAAAACCCAAAACCUAGGCCAAAAUCCUCCCACUUACAAGUAGGCAAACCUUAUUGAUUUCCCGGCCAAAACCUCAUGCUGUGAGACCCAAACCCUAAGACUCUAGAAGCAGAGAAAAUAGGAAGGUCAUGUAUUUAUCCACAGACCACUGAUUUCCUAAUUUUAUACACAGUAUCCUAGACUAGGAGACACUAACAAUGCCGUCCAAACCUCUUUGGUUGUGAAUGUGUUAUCAACUGCAUAUCACACGCAUACUUUAGAUCUUUUGUAGGGAAGCAAAACAUUUUUUUAAAAUAAUUUUUUAAAAUGGUACAUGGAAAGAGCUUCUCUAGAUGUAAAAAUGAAGUGAGUCUGAAUUUGAUCAAGAAUUAGGCAUUUUUUUCAAGGCAAACUGAUACUGUGAUUAAAGCAAUGGCCUGUUAUUCUCUCACAAAAUUCUCGUUUUCUUCUAAUAAUACUUUUAAAAGUCAUUUAAUUGCAGAGACAAACCUUAAAUAAAGGGAGUUGAGGCAUUGUAACAGUAUAGCAAAACCCCUACAGCUGUCUCCUGGCUCCAGAAGUAGAAUUAAUUAUGCUGAGAUACUGGUGGUUAUAUGACACAUCUCUUACUGGAAGGGGUUAGGCUUCUGCACUGGGAUACUCAGCAGCCAUGGCUGGGAGCUGGGAUGCUUCAAAGAGCCAGUAGGAAGUGCCAAGAGAGAAGUAGAUUUGAAAUUUCCUUUCCAGAUUGAGUUAAGUACAUGUUUCAAUGCCACAGUUAAGCUGGAUUUAUAAGGAUUUGGCCUUCACAGUCUGAAAUGGCUUCGGUUUAUCUGACUCAGCUACAGUUUUCUGUCAGGACUGUUUGUGUACUCUGCAUCAGACCCCUGUUGGAAAAAUUCAGUGUAUUCUAUAGAGUAGAAUCUCCCUUUUCAAUCUCUAUGUCUGAGGCCCAUAAAUACUGCUUUUUUUUUUUUUUUUUUUUAAUUUCACAGUGGUAUGGAUUGCCCUGGAGAUAUGAACAGUAUUUUCACACGGAAAAUCUCAUAGUGUUUUAGUAUGGUCACUCUCUUGGUAUCUCGUACUGGGGAGUCAAAGCUCCAGAGCACGCAGAGACCAGGCCCGCAAGGUGCUGGAAAUGCUCUCCAUCUACCAUCCUGACCCCCACCAUCUUUGAGCGGACUUAGCCAUCUAUGUAGUCAACCUAGAGAAGAGAGAGGUGUUGCUUACCCAUUCAGUAGACAGGACAUUAGAUAGGGAUUUUUUUCCCUAAAAUUUAAUGAAAGGUUAUCCUAAAUCUCUUUGCUGGAUCUGGGGUCUCACACUAAGGACACUUGGGCAUACAAGUCAUGUGCUGAACUACACUGUUUUAGUUCUCUGAAGUGUAUGGUCUGUAAACACCUGGACACCUUGCUGUGGUGCACUGAAUUUAGAGACUGAGUUGGUCCCUUCCAGUCCUAUGUUCCUAGAAUAGCAUGGGAGCAUAGGAGCAGAAUUUACUUUCUUCUAUACCUUUGUGAUGCCUACUUAGUUUCUAGGGUUUUUAAUGGAAGACACUCUUUGCAUGUUUGCAUCAUAUCUGGCAUGAGGCUUUAGUCAUGGCUGGUGCCUGAGGCAUUAUCAUAAAGUGAAAAAAAAAAAGGGUGAUCCUGACAUUUCCUGGAAAUCUCUCCUCAGCAUCUGGGUGCACAAGUAAUGUACAAUUCACUUUAUAUCACAGCUUAGCCUGAUUCGUACAUGUCUUGACAAGUUCACUUACUGCAGUGUGACCUGCAUCUUUGAACAGACCUCAGGUCUUCACCCCACAUUAUCCCACCUCUAAGAAACAUGUUACACACCAUUAAAGGCUUAGCGAAAACAACAAACUCUAAUGUGCCAGGCCUUAUCUUGUGGACCUCAGCAGAUGAAAGCAGAAGAAGCCACCCAACGUUAGGCAACCUUCUCUGUGUGGGAGGAUGCGAGUGGCAAGAUGGGGUCACCAGAUCUGCUCACAGACAGCAACAGGAAGAAAAUUCAGCGAGCACAGCGCUCCCAACCCAGCCAAGCACAGAGAACAUGAGCCUUGAAUCAAGAUGCCAGUCAACACUGCCUCUCUUUGAUGUCAUGCAAGAUGGGAGGCAUCAGCCACAGACUGCUUGCAUGAGAAUACUAAAAACAGGUGACAAAACCUCUCGUGAAAUAUGUCAGCAUCAUCAGGUGAGAUUUGGACCACACUUUCUGCAUUCACUGUUGUCCAGGGAUUCCUUCCCUGCUUUACACCAUCUCGCCUUGAAGUAGGACUGCAGAGAGAAGCCAGCCAGAGACCGAAACUCUCCAAUCAAAGGCUUUUGCAGUAUUAAGAUCACAUUUACAACUGUUUCUAAUCACAGCAGCCCAUCUACCCAGUGACACAGACCACAGAGAGCACGCAAGUCUGUCUUCUUUCUCUUCACUGGUGCCCCACUGACAACUCGGUUGAAUGCAAGGCUUCACGCUUCCUUCCAAAAGCCUGAAGCAGGACUGUCUUCAAUUACCACACUGCGUGACUCCCACAUCACUUGUGUCCUGCUGGAAGGAUGGACCUGUCAGCUUCAAGUAAACAUUGCGAGUGCAGGAAACAAAGCUUGCCCAAGGACAGCCUGUGACCCUGGAGCUCACUGCUCAAAAGGCAUGGAUGACCAGGAACCACUGUACCAGGGAAAAAGGCAAUGUCUUGUGCACCUUGUAUCCAAGAGUUCAUCCACAUGGCUAUUAAACAAGUAGUCUAAAGCGACCACAAUGAGAGAAGCAUUUUGAUUUCAGAGGGACAAAAUUAACCAUAACAUCAUAAACACAAAUCAGGAUGGAACACAGCAGGAAAAGGAUGCUGUGUUGAACCCAACAAAGAUCAGCUCAGGUGUGACUGGAAAUCACUUAUGUCCUGAAUAUGUCAGGGCAACUUACAAUAUAAGAAGGAAAGGGAAGCUGGGAGAGAAAUAUACAGCAUGUGACUGUUUACAAUGAUCUGCAAAUCUGGAAUCCAGAAGGUUUUACUAAAAAGUUUUGACACCCAUACAUAGAUUUAAGUAUAGCUGAAAUGUGAAAAAAUAUUGUUUCUUUAAAUAAGAAAUCAUAUCUCCAUUUCAUUUGGAUCCCAUUAACAAAUUCAAAAUAAAUCUUUGUGGUUUUGUAAUCCAAGUAAUGCUUUUUUCUUCUUAACCUAGUCUUUUUUUGUUGCUCUUCAUUAAGAUAUUUUUAUUUAGAAUAUUUCAUUGGUCCAGCAUUACUGAUCUUACUGAUGUUUAAUUACUUCAUGUAAAAAUAUUUUGUUUAUAUGUGUUUUUAUUGGUCAGAUCUCCUCCCCUUUUUUCCAUAGAAGCAGCAGCUAAGUUGAAGCAAAAAGAAGAGAAGAGAGUUUGCCAUAUAUCCUGUUUGGUUAAGCAUCCUUCACAUAAAAAUAUUGGGCCAACAACAAGAGAAAGCUUUCUAACAACAAGAGAAAGAUUUCUAAGAGUCACAAACCAAUUCUUUAUGGCUUUAUUCUGCUCCUCCAAGACACUAUAGAACGUGUGACCUGUUUGAUUCAAAUUUGAAAAAGAAACUACUGAAGAGAAGAAUGUCACCUGGCAGACAGGAUGGGAUGCAACUUACCUGAGUGUAGAAGACUCACCUCACCAGUUUUAGACAUCAGCUGCAAACAAGCUGAAUUGUGCUCUGGAACUACUCCCUAAAAAAAAAAACAGGAACCUGGGUGACAGACACUUACGUUUCCUCAACUUAAUUCUACCACAAGGGUCUGCAGUUAGAAGCCCAGUGAGACAAGGCAAAUGUGUUAGGCUUUAUUUAAACUGGGAAGUUAAAUGAUAAGUCUUCCACUAGAAAAGUUUUUUUUCCAGAUACUUUUUGCUGCCAUCCAAUCAGACUAACUCUGAAAGAAUAAGUUUCACUGAAAGUCUUUAUUUCUUUCUUCAUCUCUGUGACAUUAAAGAUAUUUCUGCUUUCAAGCACCAACAAUCUCUUGGGUGUUUUGUAUUGCCUCUCAGUAGUCACACCGGCUGUAGACAGGGAGCAAGGUGCCUGAGUUGAAGUCUUGGCUCUUUUGAGUGGUAUCAGGAAUCACCUAGACCCAGCACCAUCAUGUCUGUUCCACUUCUGGGGUUUUGUUGUGUCACUUUGAAUUAUAAGUUUCCUUAAGCAGGAGCAACAUACCUAGCAGAGAUCUCAGUAGUGAUGUCCAUCUGGACUGCUACCAAAAGUAAUAAGGAGUACAAUAGAAAAAAGUUCUUCAGCCUUUAUUGCUCUGCUUUUCCUGUAAAGCCCCUGGCCAGCAGGAAAUAUUUGAAUACCUAUUUUGUUCUUGCUUAAUGGUAGGGUUACAUACAGUUCAGUGGCAGAAGAGAGAACAGGGUGAAGGUCUACUGCCUUUGAAUCAACAUCUGCCCAGUACUCUGCAUCACCUCCACAGAAGCUCUUCUGGUCUGAAGUGGAAAGAAAGAAGAUGAGCCCAAGGAUUCCUCUCUGCCCUGCAAAGUUUCCUGUUUACGUCCGUGCAUCCUCCGAAAGCAGAGCGCUCUCUGCUUCCCACACCUCAGAAGCCAUGGACGGAUCCUGUAACAUCCUGUGCCUUUCCGUCAUCGCAGCGCUGCUUUUUCUGAGAACUGCCGGGAGAAGUCGCUCACAGGAUUGUUAACAAUUGGUCAUCACCUUCUGGAUGUGUCAGACCGUUGAGUGCUCCUGGCCAUCAGGCUUCACAGACAAGGAAACAAUAUCAACAAAACAUUUGCCCUUUGUUCCCGACAUAUAUUGAGUUCACUGUGUAUCACAGUGGAUAGCACGCUUCCUACACGAGAAAAACCAUUGCCUUUUGAUUUGAAGCUGAAUGUUAUAUCACUGAAGUGUAGAGGCUGAACCAGGACAGAAAAGUAGCUCAGUACCGAACAGUCCUGGCAGCUGCACAGCUUAUCUUCCCUGUUUGUCUUCUUGUGGUUAUGGCCGAGGCUGAGGUAUGUACAUUGUCUCCUCAGGGAGAAAAAUGUCCAGUCUCCAGCUCCCUCUGAAGAGGAUCCCAGAUUAAGACUUCGUUCUUCUCAUUUCUUCCUCUGCCCUCUGCCCUACAACGUGUGCCUAUUGUACUCAGCGGUUAACUAAUAGCAUUCAAAAGAGAAUGAGCAAGAAUGAUAAAUUAGAAUGUAAAGAGUGAAAUUUUCCCUAGUGAGGAAAAAAAAAGAAAAAGAGUUGACUGGUGCCACAGGUAAUAACAUUUGUCUGCUGAGGGUUGCCUAACACAGGCACACUUUCAGUCAUAGAAAAGAAUUAAUUAAAGCUGAGCAAUAUUUUUUUUUUUUACAAAAGUAGGGUAGCUUCAGACUGUGUAACCCAAACCUGCCCUCAGCCUUGUGCCCACUCUUAGUGAGAAGAAACCUGGCACCAUGAGAAGUGGGCUGCACCAUGUCCCAUGGCAUCCUGCUCCCUGGGCACUGGCAGGGAGCUGCUCUGGUCAUUUGCCUGGUCCUGCCCAUGGCAGAACACUGGGAUGUUGGUGUCUCUGUGUGUGUCACACAGCUCGUGUAAAUUAAGGUCAGGAUUUGGCCUCAGUGUACAAAUCUAGUUUUAUCCUGUAUUAUUAACAUUGUGUGAAGUUUGGAAUUUGUGUUGCUCUUGUUUAAAGGUUACCUCCAACUAAGCCUUUCCAAACAUAUUAGGGAUUACAGAUCCCUCACAACCUUUCCAUUGUUCUUGCAGUCAAAAUAGCAACAGCUGCAAUGAUGCACACCACAUUACGACUAGUUUAAAGACUGUAAUUCUACUCCACUAAGUAAAAUGUAUGCUUUAGAAAUUCUAACAUAUGAAAUGAUUCAGUAAAAGGUAGAAUUUAACACCAAAAAAAUUGCUAUAAGCCUCAAAGACUCACCCUAUGGAGGAAAAAAACUAUUUUCAAAUAUAAAAGAAAAAAAAAACUAGAGAAAGGUAAAAUGUUUGAAAAAAAGAUUGAAUAAACCUCAAAUCCUCUGCUGAAAGGAGCAUAUUCUUCAACUUGUCAUUUAAAUAAAUGCAAUAAAAAUGAACUGUAAGUUAGGGGAAAACCUACUUUUCUUAUUUCUGAAGUAAAAUCAGUAAUGAAAUCAAGUAGUAAACAGAUCUUCCUUUCUACAGGUUCUCUCAAAAAUAGUCAAUGGACACAGAAUUUGUGUGAAAUAGGACUUUGGGAAAAACAAUGAGUUCUUGCCAAAACUCAUUAACUCUACCAACUUUUUUUUCCCCCCAUCCAUUUGGAAUACACAGAUACACUGUCUUUCUCACUGAAAAAUUACUCACACGCACACAUAAUGUCAAAUGAAAAGAAACCCAAAGGGACAAUGCAAUAAACUGGCACAUACCUUGGAAUUUUAAUACAUCUUUCUUGUCUUUGUAUAAGUACACAGUACCUUUGUAACAAUAGAAAGAUAAACUUUGUUCUUAAAAACCUUACUUAGUUGAUUGCUAGAAUGCUCGCACACUAUCAAGCAAUAGAUUCAGUGUCAUGUUGCUUUGUUGAUGUUGGGUCUUUGACAAUACCACCAGCAAGACAGGGUUCAUUUAGCUAGAGUGAUCCUGGAUGGGAAGCUUUCCUUUUGCUUAGAGGGAAUUUUAAACUCCAGUUGAGUGUUCUGUCUCACAAAGGUAUAUUUGACAAACUGUGUGACUGAGGCAUAUAUAUAUAUUUAUUUCUGUGGGACUGCUUUGUGCUUUCAUUUAAUUGGGUGGUAUUAUCUUGUUGCUAGAUUACAGUAACGGCAGAGGUGACUCAAGUUCCCUGUGAAUUUUACUGUGACAGAGUCCCCUAGGUAAUUCAGGAAAAGUCCAGCCCAACUGCAUCUCAUGGCUAUUGUGUGAUUGUCAUUGAGUCAACAAAAGGGUCUGACCCUGAGAGAAUUUAUACAGGGCCAAGGUAAACUUAUCAGUCUCAAUAACCUUCACACUUUUUUCUUCCUUCCUUCCAUUUCAACGCAUGCUAGUUUCACUCUGUGGUAGCACAGAUGCUUUGUGAGCCACUGUGACCUUCCUUUCCCUUUCUAAAUCUCAUUUCUUCCUCCAUCCAAAAGAUUUUUACUCUGUGCAACUUGCUACCACAAGCUCUCAGGGAGGCCUUGCCGUGUCAUGGCUUUAGAAAGGAUGGCACAGCUACCUGCAGGGCUACAACGUGGUGCAGACCCACAGUCAUAGGGCUUGCCAUCUCUCAGAAACAAAAGCUUAGAAGAGACAUGCAUCCUCACACUUAAUGGUACAGGCUGGUAGCUCAGGCAGAUUACUUUAUGUUUGCCAUUUCAGAUCUCAGGCACUGCCUUCUGAGGUAUAAAAGACAUCUUGCCUGCUCUAACUGCUGGUCCACCCAUUUCCAUGGUUACCUCUUGUCUUGUGAACUGUUAGGUCACUUCAAAGCCUUAACCAUUGCCAUAGACAGCAAUAAUUUCCAGGUUUCAGCCACUACUUCAUUUUUCAGUGAAGACAAAAGGAAUUUGCAAUCCCAUACUAAAAGUUCAUAAGAACCAUGGUAAUUUUACCAUUUUCAGGUCAACCUGAGGUUAGGGCUCUAAAUAAACUUAGCUGUGUUUAGUUGUGCUCUAGUAUCUAGUAUGUGCUCUAGUGCUCUACUACACUGCACCACAGUCACUGAUCUUCUUAAAUCACAUCAGUACCAACUGCCUGACUCCUUCACUGAUGCUACAAGCACUUAAACAGGUAAAUUUGGCGUCAGCUAUAAAACUCAAAUUAUUUGGGUUUGAAUUAUCCAAGGACUUCAGGGGAAUCCAUCAGCACAAGCCACAGACUAUUCACUGUAUUCACUAUGUAGAGAAAACAAAUGCCCUGAAAUGGAACAAAGAAUUAUGUAAUUUUUGGUAACAAAUACUAUGUUAAAGAAGACCCUUUAACAAACAAACAAAAAAUGUAGAAAUAGAGUUACAGAGGUCUCUACCCAUCCUUUUCCCUUUCAGCUGACUGUUCAAGCUCCAUAGCAGGAAGAAGGCAUAUGCCCAGUGCUAACUUUGCUCUGUAACACUAAUUAAGCACCGUCUCUGGAAGAGGUGCUGUCUUUGGGGAAUGGUUGCUAGACUAAGGUCAUGUCUGCACAUCUCUGGUAUUUGUCUAUGUGUCACUUUUAUUUAAAGAAUAUGGAAAUAAAUGCCAACAUCCUGGUUAACAUUU